rnacentral:rRNA from 1 species
CAGCUCCAAUAGCGUAUAUUAAAAUUGUUGCAGUUAAAAAGCUCGUAGUUGAAGUUCUGCUAAAAGUAACCGGUCUGCUUUUAAUAAAGGUGGUAUCUUGGUGUGUAUUUAGCAAUGAUGUCCUUUGAAGUGUUUUUUACUUUAUUGUAAUAAAGCAUAUUCAGGACUUUUACUUUGAGAAAAUUAGAGUGUUUCUAGCAGGCUAACGCUUUGAAUACUGCAGCAUGGAAUAAUAAGAUAGGAUUUUAGUUCUACAUUAUUGGUUUUAAGAGCUAAAUUAAUGAUUGAUAGGGACAGUUGGGGGCAUUUGUAUUUAACUGUCAGAGGUGAAAUUCUU